rnacentral:rRNA from 1 species
AUUGAACGCUGGCGGAAUGCUUUACACAUGCAAGUCGAGCGGCAGCACGGGGGCAACCCUGGUGGCGAGCGGCGAACGGGUGAGUAAUACAUCGGAACAUGCCCAGUCGUGGGGGAUAACACUUCGAAAGAAGUGCUAAUACCGCAUACGUCCGGAGGGAGAAAGCGGGGGAUCUUCGGACCUCGCGCGAUUGGAGUGGCCGAUGUCAGAUUAGCUAGUUGGUGGGGUAAAGGCCUACCAAGGCAACGAUCUGUAGCUGGUCUGAGAGGAUGAUCAGCCACACUGGGACUGGGACACGGCCCAGACUCCUACGGGAGGCAGCAGUGGGGAAUUUUGGACAAUGGGGGCAACCCUGAUCCAGCCAUUCCGCGUGAGUGAGGAAGGCCUUCGGGUUGUAAAGCUCUUUCGGCAGGAACGAAACGGCGAGCUCUAACAUAGCUUGCUAAUGACGGUACCUGAAGAAGAAGCACCGGCUAACUACGUGCCAGCAGCCGCAGUAACAC